UGGAGCAUCAGUGAGCAACAAUGAAGGCAUUCUGCUGUCACCCAACUAUCCUCUGAACUAUGAAAACAACCAUGAAUGCAUCUACAGCAUUCAAGUGCAAGCAGGGAAAGGCAUCAACAUUUCUGCCAGGACUUUUCACUUAGCACAAGGAGACAUUUUGAAGAUUUAUGAUGGGAGAGAUAAUACUGUUCAUGUGCUUGGCGCUUUCACUGGCUCUGCAAUGACGGGACUGACAUUAAUAAGUACAUCAAAUCAUCUCUGGUUGGAGUUUUAUUCUGAUUCUGAAGUGACCAGUGAAGGUUUUCAGCUUGUCUACUCUAGUUUUGAGCUUUCCCAUUGUGAAGAUCCUGGAGUACCUCAGUUUGGGUUCAAGAUCACUGAUCAGGGGCAUUUUGCUGGCAGCACAAUUACUUACAGGUGCAAUCCAGGUUACACGCUUCAUGGAAGUAGCAUCCUAAAGUGCAUGACUGGAGAAAGAAGGGCAUGGGACUAUCCUCUUCCUUCCU